AAAAAUAGAUGAGUUUGGUGAUGGCUCUGAUUGAACACUGUCCAAAUACUUGACACAUGCUAAUCGAACGUUUAAUUUUGGCCUAAGAAAGGGGUUUCAUCGUGGCUUAAGCUAAGGGGUUUAUUGAGGCUUAAGCUAAGGUUUAAUCUUUGACUUAAGCGGGUGUUUUAGGGGAACUUGUGCCCCUAAAACCUCUUAAUUAAAAGUGGUGUACAGGUGAGUAUAAUAUUUUUUCGCUUAACUUAAAGUGAAGGCAAAUCCUUCAUAUUGCAAAAGGAUAUCUUAGGCACCUGUUGAAAGGGGCCUACUUAUAUUAUAUCCGCUUUAAGAGGAUGAGAAAAGUUUCAGAGAUAGGUAGUUGUUAAGGUCAUGGCUUAACAAGCCAAUAAUUCUCUUAGUCGAAGCUGAAAAGGCUGAUCGACCACAUUGGGAAUGAAAAAAUCCCAAGGCAAAUAGGUACAGCAGUGAGGAAUCUUGGUCAAUGGGCCCACGCCUGAACUGGUAACUUGGAGGAAUGAGGGGUCCGG
rnacentral:rRNA from 1 species